UACUUCAGCAAACAAAAACAAGAGUUAAAAUACGAAGUAUUAUAGUCACGUGAUACAUCCCCUGCGUCAGGAAGUGGCCCGACGUGAUAAACCGAACGGUCCGGCCGGAGGACAAGGAAGCGUGGAAGAAGAACCGAAGCUGUCGAAGCAACGUUCGCGGGAAGUCUAACCGCUUGAAGCACGUUGCAGAGUCGAGACCAGUUGAGCGGCCGGAAUUUUACGAACGAUUAUGCAAGCGUACGUCUUGAGGACGACCAUGAGCCACAUAUCAUCUCAAAUUUCUGCCCGUCAAGCCUUGUGACGAAACGGAAUCGGACUUCUUCAAGGCGCGGAUCCUAAAGUUGUUUGGAUCGCAGAGUGACGCGGAAACCCAGUGACAGUAAGCGGGUGCUAGUACCUCCGACGAGAUGAGUGACUGCCCGGGAGGGCUGGAGGAAGCUUGUGUGAGACAGACUUCACACACGAAAGUUCUCAAAUAGAAGAGGGAAUCAAUGUUCAUCCGGUAAGGUUUGGUAAUUAUCUCCGCCACAGAUGGCCUCCUUGGCGAAUUGUAACCGGCAGACCUUCAAACCGCACAAAGGCUAAGCAAAGCCACAACUGGAUGCAGCAAGACUAAAAGCUUUAUAAUAUACUGUAAGGACUAUGGCUUUAUAAUAAGCCUUUUAUAGCAAAACAUACUGAUCUGAAAAGCGUUGUUUGUGGUUAUUUUAAAGUGGUAUACGGAAACUUUGUCGUAUUGUAUUAAUUCUGGUUCACUGCACAGUUGAAAGAAUUGUCUUCGUUUGCUGCCAGAGAAAUAUAGCUUGCGAUGAACUAAAUCAAAGCUAUGACUGCUGGUGUCAUGUACAUAUUCAGAACUUUUUUUUAUUAAAAUAAUUGUAAUCAAGUGUUUUUAUGGGUUUUAGCACUGUGAUUAAGAUACGUCAAUGUGUUUUCUAAGAAAGACUACUAAUUUGCAGUUUGUAUCUUCUCCUAAAAUAUUUUGUAGAUCUGAGCAUGUAUUCAUACCUGAAUAUGUGCCAGGCAUUCCCCAGUAUGUGUAUAAUUGUUUACUAGGCCUGUAAGCUUCCCCACUACAUCAUUGCCGUUAUGUUAACGCUUCCCACCUAUUAUUCGAGAGAGAUAAGUGUUUCUCAUGAUCAAUUAGGUUGAGAUUGUUUAGCGUUAAUGCUUUUGAGUCCCCCAUUUUUAAUUCCUGACAGAGCGCUUCAAUGUCGGUUUAUUUUUGGUUUGCCGCUAUUUAUCACCACAAGCAAAAACAUCACGCCACUGGGAUUAACCCGAAGCUCACCUCAUGAUUAACGACGCUGCCGUCCACUGUCUUAAGGUGGGCCUACGUUCAUGGGUACUUGUCUAGUGGUUCUGGAGUUGAUGUUGCUGAGAUAACCGAGACGCCGAUUUCUACGAUGGCCUCUGUCAGCAUCAUGGUCAAUUACAGCUGGCCCAAACCAGGCCAAUCAACGUGCUGGCCCGAACCAGGCCAAUCAACGUGCUGGCCCGAGCCCGGCCCGGGCCCACAGUCAAAAGUCCGAGCCCAUCCCAGGCCUGGGCUUUCGGCUCAGCAAAGUGUGUGGAUCUGGUUAUGCUUCCUGUACGAGACAGAUCACGAAGCGGUUGCUGACUGACCAGUUGGGGCGAAAAUUUUUGUGGAAAGGACGCAAGAGAAAGUUGACAUUCAGGAACCUUCACCUUGCUGAGUGCAUCAUAAAUGUAGUGCAGAGCUGCCAUAAAUGUGAAGACUUCAAGGUAGAAACCAUGGUCACGGAUUAACUUCGCCACGCACCUGCCUGACAUCAGUCAUCUCAAAUGG